AAAAAAAGUAGCGUAAAAGAAAAAAAAUACAGCAAAUCUGAACGGAAAUACCGUAAAAAAAACUCAAAAUUUGGUAACUCAUAUUCAUAAAUAUUUUAUGGGGCUAAUUUGGUUCGUUGGUCCUCAAAUUAAAUAUAAAAAAAAAAAAAAAAAAUUGAUAAAGGAAAAUAAUGGAUUGUAAUAAUCAAAAUAUAAAAUUUGAUGGAGAAUUGAUUCUAGUUAAUUUAAAAGUUAGGAAUUGUAACUUCAUCCAAAAUUGCUUUUGGAAGGUAGAAGCAAUUCUGAAAAUUCAAUUUUCACUUUUGAGGUGUUGUAGAAGUGCUUCUUGUUGGAAAGAAGCCAAACCAAACACACACUUAGAAGAGGCCACUCUCUGUGGACGUGGGAACCGUAUCUGCGGCAUGGUUCUGCAAAAAGGGGUGGUGGUAAGACUAUGUUACGUUAUCAAUUCUCAUUCUCAUAUUGGGAGAAUGGAUCAAUUCUAGAAAUAGAGUAUUUUCAUUGGUGGGGGUGUUGGUGUUGUUGCAGAGUGAGAAAAUAGAGGGGGAGGUCUCAAGGGACGUUAGAGUAAUUUUUGCUAAGUUGUAUUUAAAACAGAGGAUGAUUCCCUUUCUUAAAAUAUGUGAAGUAUACAUACAAGUAAAAGAAGAAGAAAAAAACAUGGCAAUGUUUAUGUAUGGAGCUUGGCUACUUGCAAGAUGAUUGAUAAUUGACGAUAGACUGAUAGAUAGAGAACAGCCUUCAAUCACAUGAAAAUUCUCCACACCCUUGUAGUUGCUUCUCCCCUAAUUAAUCAUUAGUUGAGAGACACAGCUUAUAUACAUUUAAAUUUUUCUACACUCCAAGAUAAUCAGGCCUUUCCUUUCCAACUGAACCAAAGAUGAGAAAUUUUUCUUACCCACCCACUUCCAAUAGAACUUAAUUACUCAUGGUCGCUAAUUUCUUGCUUCUUUAUUGGUACAUAGCAUGUAGUAUUACUAUUACCACUCAUUGUAGCUUUACGUUCAAAAUACUGACGUGGCAUAUUCUAAAAUCUAAAUGUGUAGGAGUGAGUUUGUGAUCUCACUAUGAAAUGUGAUAUGUUGUUGACUAUCAAUGCUCAUCAAUAUUUCUACUCUAACAGACCCCUUAGCAUCAAAACUCCAUUGUUUUCUUUGUUUCUCAAAUGCCAUCCAUCCAUUCCAAAGAUAACCAAAUUACGACUAACACUGCCAAGUUGUUCCCCGACUUCUUCAAAGUCUUCCUCAUAGAGAAGCAUUAUGAGAGAAUGCUUAUCCCAAUUGCUUUUGUGAAGCUCAUGCUUUCGAAACAAAGGGUAUUGAAAUAUUUUAUCCUAAGGGAUCAUAGAGGAACAGAUUGGCAUGUCAAAGCACGUUCUAUUGGUCGCAAGCUUUAUUUUGAUGAUGGUUGGAAACUAUUCAGAGAAGAAAAUUCUUUAGAGGACAAUGACUUCCUUGUUUUCAGACAUAUUGAAAACAAUGUAUUCAAGUUCAAAAUUUAUGAACUAUCAUCAAUGUGUAAAAAGAUGAAGGUAAUGGAUGGGGAGGAAAAUAAUAAUAUGUUGGAGGAUGAGGAAGAUGAUGAUGAUGGUGAAGAUGAUGAUGAUGACGAACGACGAUUAUACAAUGGUAGAGGAAGAAGAAGAGGAAAAAGAUGAAGGUGAUGGUGAUGGUGAUGAUGAAGACGAUGGGGAUGCUGAUGAUGAUGUGCAUAUAAUAAUGAAAGAAAAAAGAAUAAAGGAGUUGACAAGGGAAUCAGUAGAAGCUGUGAACAUCAACAUUGUAGAACCUGCAAAGCAUGGAGCAUUGGAAGCAGCUCUGCAGCUCCAAAACAUGAAGAUGAUGAAAUUGAUGUUGAAAUGUAUAUUCAGCCAGGAAAUCCUUACUUCUAUGCAAAACACUACAGACCCAACGAAUUGGUUUAGUUCUUUAUAUACUCUACUUCGAUUUUGUGCUUUGUCAUUUCUUUGAUGUGUAUAUGCAUUGUUUUUUUGUAACAUCGGAGCAUUGUUAGAUGAGUAAUUAGCUCAUUUUUCUUAAGCUUAGGGUGAGGAACUAGUCUUAUUUCUUUUAACCUCUAUUUUGUGACCCUAAACAAACUUUUACAACUAUUACAUGUUUUCCUUCCUUCAUGUGCUUAUGGUAUCACUCUUGGCUUUUGUAGUAUAUUUUAAAGAAUGUCGUUAAGGAUUUCUGCCUUUGCUUUACAAAGCAUAUCAGCCUUGUAUGUUGCCACUGCAAGGAUGUUCGAGGUAAUGAAAUAGCAGCCUGUCAUCACAUAUUGGCACAAAUCAACACAACACAUAUCGAAAAGAGAGGAGAAAUACGUAAAUGGAAAGAUGGUCGAGUCUUUGAGCUAGGGUGGGCAGAUUUUUGUAGAAAGAGCAAGAUUACAGAAAAUGAUAGAUGCUUGUGUGAAGUUGUGUUGCAUGGAGGCAAAUCAAUUGAAAUGCUUAGGGUGCACGUUAUUAGGAACGAAUGAGUCAAGCAGCAAAAGUACUUCUAUUAACUUGAAACUUGUUUAUUUGUAAAAUAUUUUUAUGAAGGGUGUUUUUAUAACUUUCUUAUGGAACAGUUUCUGCCAUGACUAUGAUGACCACUUUUAUCUAUGCCUCAUUGGAUAAUAUUAUUUAGUUUCAACUAUUGCAGAAUCAUUUCUCUGAUUUUACAUUGGAAGAUUGCAAUGCACAAUGGUUGAAAUGUUAUUGCUAAUUGUUGAUCAGAAUUGAAUUUGAAAACCUUCAUUAGGUUAAAGUCA